GAGCCUCGCGCUGACUCUGAAG
rnacentral:miRNA from 1 species